rnacentral:rRNA from 1 species
CAGUCGCCGCGGUAAUACGAGGGGUGCAAGCGUUAUUCGGAUUGAUUGGGUGUAAAGGGUGUGCAGACGGCUUAUUAAGUCACUUGUUAAAUUCUUCGGCCUAACUGAAGGUCUGCAAGUGAUACUGAUGAGCUAGAGGGUAGAAGAGAGAAGUGGAAUUCUCGGAGUAGCGGUAAAAUGCGUAGAUCUCGAGAGGAACACCAAUGGCGAAGGCAGCUUCUUGGUCCAUUCCUGACGUUCAUACACGAAAGCGUGGGGAGCAAACAGGAUUAGAUACCCCCGUAGUCCCUGUCUCUUAUAC